UACGAGGGGUGCAAACGUUAUUCGGAAUCAUUGGGCGUAAAGGGUGCGUAGACGGCGAAAUAAGUCAGUCAUUAAAUUCUUCAGCUUAACUGAAGACCUGUGAUUGAAACUGCUUUGCUUGAGGAUGGAAGAGAGAAGCGGAAUUCUCGGAGUAGCGGUAAAAUGCGUAGAUCUCGAGAGGAACACCGAUGGCGAAGGCAGCUUCUUGGUCCAUAUCUGACGUUGAAGUACGAAAGCGUGGGGAGCAAACAGG
rnacentral:rRNA from 1 species